CGCUAGUGCCUGUCAAUGUAUCUUGGCUUAAUGUUGUACCCCCCCUGGGGGUUUGCAGAUUUUUUUAUUUCUCAACUGUCAAUUUCCCACUCCCAGGCAAAUAAAGAAAGCCAAUUCCCCCAUACUGGGGACAACAUUCACAAACCAUUUUUGCACACAAACACAUCAAAAUUUCACAAAUGUCAACUUGUGAAAGGCAUCCAUUAAGCGAUUAAAGGAUUAACUUCCCAUUCUCUCGUGCCAGGCGGUAGCUUCCAGGGUCUUAGCUAGGAUUUUAGAUCUUGGGCGUGUUUCUAAUGACCAGGGCGUGCACAUGUCAAUUACUUUGAAUAGCAAAAUAAUGGCUCUAGUUAUGCUCGCCAACAACAAUGCCUGUGGUUGUUCUAUGCUUUGCAGCCAAAUACAAGGCGAGCAUACGCUCAUAUUGCGCACUGACAAUUAAGUUAUUUCAACAAAAUUAAAACCAUUUCAACACCAUACAGUUCCCAUUAUCCAUCAAAACAUUAAAACAUCACGGAUCACUUUUGCCAAUUCAACAACAACAGUAGAUUCUACAAAUUUUCUUGACGUAAAUAGGAAGAAAUUCUGUCUGUCGUAAGUAUAGCACCACCUUAUUUUAUGAACCUAUAUACACGGCCUUAUAUAAAUAGUGUAGCCGCGUUCAUUUUAUCUAACCGUGUUUUUGCACUUUUGGCCGCGAUAACACGGCCAACACGGCCCUCUAGCUAAGACCCUGGUAGCUUCCCAUUCUCUCGUGCCCGCGAAUACCGCCUGCUACGCAGGCUAUUUAACAUUUAAAUGUUGUGAAUUGUGAUAGAUUCUUGAUUUCCAUAUAGUUGGCAAAAUAAAGAUGUGAUUGGGUGGGACAAAGGCCAGACAAACUCGAUUUUGUGUGGAGAGCUAAGGGGGUGUCCCCCAAAAAAUUUGAAUCUAGAAGCUCUUAAGUUAUGGCAAAGAUUUUUUAGGAUAUUAGCUUCUCCUCA